UUCACAUUUUAUUUAUGUAUAUUCUACUAUGGAAUUAGAUUUCUCUGGUCGUCACCUUGGUUCUGGGACAUCCGACAGUGCUGGCAUAACUAUCCAUUUCAGCCUCUUUCAAGUGGGCUUUAUUACUAUUAUAUCAUGGAAUUGGCCUUCUAUUGGUCCCUUAUGUUUUCUCAGUUUACAGACAUUAAAAGAAAGGACUUCCUGAUCAUGUUUGUGCAUCACUUGGUCACCAUUGGGCUUAUCUCCUUCUCCUACAUCAACAAUAUGGUUCGAGUGGGAACUCUGAUCAUGUGUCUACAUGAUGUCUCAGACUUCUUGCUGGAGCUCAAUUCUUUCUUCCUUUCUCCAGGCAGCCAAACUGGCCAAUUAUGCCAAGUAUCAGCGGCUCUGUGACACCCUUUUUGUGAUCUUCAGUGCUGUUUUUAUGGUUACACGACUAGGAAUCUAUCCAUUCUGGUAAGUGGUAGGCUGUAGAGUUGUGGUAGGUAUGAGCCUAAUGAUACCUUUUUGCCAAUUCUCAUUUUGCCCAUUCAGUUUUUCUGUUCUAUUCUAUUCUACUUUCGCCAAUAGAACACAAGAACCCUAUUGCCCUGCUUUUACCUUAGCCUGUGCUGACCUUCUGUGGACUCUCACAGGACCUCUGCUGCCUCACACCGUAUUUCUAGCAAGGUCGGAUCCAGACUCAGAGUACCCGGCUUGGUUGGCUUCUCAGGACUGACUCAUCUCAGGAACAGUCCUCAUUUUAUGCCUAAGAUUCUGAACACGACCCUCUUUGAGAGCUGGGAGAUAAUCGGGCCUUAUGCUUCAUGGUGGCUCCUCAAUGGCCUGCUGCUGACCCUACAGGUUCUGCAUGUCAUCUGGUCCUACCUAAUUGCACGGAUUGCUUUGAAAGCCUUGAUCAGGGGAAAGGUGACCUGUCCAGGAAGGAUUAGACCCUGUACUCUCCAUUCUUUCCUCACCUCCUUCCUUUUUUCUAUGCCUGGCAGGAGCUGGACAGUUUCAUCUCUUGCAUGUAUCGAAGGAUGACCGCAGUGAUGUGGAGAGCAGCUCAGAGGAAGAAGAUGUGACCACCUGCACAAAAAGUCCCUGUGACAGUAGCUCCAGCAAUGGUGCCAAUCGGGUGAAUGGUCACAUGGGAGGCAGCUACUGGGCUGAAGAGUAAGGUGGUUGCUAUGGGGACUUCAGCACACAUGGACUUGUAGGGCCACUGGCAACAUACUCCUCUUGGCCCUUCCCAUAUCUACUCUUCUGUGAUUGGGAGACUGCAAGGCACUGAGGAGUAUCAAAGAAGCAAAUAUUUUCACUUUGAAAGAAAACUGCCAUUUUGUAUUUAAUAGUCUCCAGGUUCUUUCAGUAAUGUUAUUUGCUCUGUGUGUUUUUGUGUGUUUGUUGAUGUGCGUUUGUGCAUAUGCGUGAGUUUCAUUGCCGGGUUGGGGCACAAUUGUGGACUGGGGCCGUGAGGCCUUCCCUGGUCCCCACUGAACCCACCUUAGUUCCACAUUUGGCUGCAUCUUGAAUUAUGCCGACUCCAGACUGUCUCCUCCUUUUUUGCCCUUGGCUCUUGACACUCUAAACCCCUGGACCAUCUGAAUGGAGCAGUCAAGUGCAGUCCCAGAUUUCUGUACUGUUCCUCUUUCACAGCUGGAAUAUGUCACAUGAUGAAGUUGUAUAGAAACAGAACCAUGGAUGGAUGGCCAGGAUUGCCGUGGUCCCUAGCUAGAUCCCCUUCCUAUCAAUCACCUGAUAGCAACAGGGACAGCUGCCAAUACCCUGCUCUUUACUCAAUGGUACCCAGGGAGGGAGCAUGGGAAGAGGGUGAGCUGAGGGCUGGGGGAGGGCAACAGCCACUGGGUGAGCUGUUCACGGUCUUAUACUAUUGUUUGUGAUUAAAAGUGCUUCAACCCACCUCUACUGUCUCAACCUCUUCAGUGACUCUAUCUGCAGUUUCCUGAAUCCAUAAGCUAAUUAAGAGCUUUUCCAGGUCUGAUUCAAAAGGCCCUGGACACCAAAUUUUUCCUUUCUGUGCAUGGUAGGAAGAGUCAGCCAGGGUGCUUACAUUUUAGAGCUUUAUGUUUUUUAAGAAAAAGAAGAAUCACUUGAACCUGGGA
rnacentral:lncRNA from 1 species